rnacentral:rRNA from 1 species
AAUCAACGCUGGCGGCGUGCCUCAGACAUGCAAGUCGAACGCGAAAGUCCCCUUCGGGGGACAAGUAGAGUGGCGCACGGGUGAGUAACACGUAGGUAAUCUACCUUCGGAUGGGGAAUAACAACCGGAAACGGUUGCUAAUACCGCAUAAUGCAGCGGCACCUAAUGGUGACAGUUGUUAAAGCGGGGGAUCGAAAGACCUCGCGUCUGAAGAGGAGCCUGCGGCGGAUUAGCUAGNGGUAAGGUAAUGGCUUACCAAGGCGACGAUCCGUAGCCGGCCUGAGAGGGCGGUCGGCCACACUGACACUGACAUACGGGUCAGACUCCUACGGGAGGCAGCAGUCGGGAAUUUUGGGCAAUGGGCGAAAGCCUGACCCAGCAACGCCGCGUGAAGGAUGAAAUCCCUCGGGAUGUAAAC